rnacentral:lncRNA from 1 species
GCCCCGCCCCUCCUCGAGCCGCGGCGGUCGGGGCCGCCCACGAAGGGGCUGCAUUUUUCAUCUGCAGCACGCUUUCUCUCAAGAAUCUCAAGCACACACAAGAAACCAGAGAGUAAAAUCACUGAGGCGUGAACACAUCCAGAGACCAAGGGCGUCACUGGCAGAAAAGCUUUUAGGCGGAUCCACGGCCCGAGAGCCACCCUGCCCAGAGACGCGGUUUCCUAGGAGCAGUUCACACGCGGCUCUGCAGCACCCACAAGCGGGGCCAGGGGCUGGUUUUCAUAGUUCACAGUCUGCAGGGAUCUUAACAAAAACAUGGCCGUGGUAAAAGUGCCUAGACCAGGCUUUCGUCACAACUCAUCAUGUUACUAGGUUAGGAUAAUAAAAAGGACUGUGAACUUCACAUCUGCCAUCUAUAAUAGAUUCUUAUUGUAGCAAUCUUGCACCAAGGGGAUUUCUUUAUUAACUCUGCCAAAUUUUCCAAAAUUACCAAAUGGAGAAAAGAGCUGGUCCCAUCUGUCACCAGGCACAACCAGGAAGUGUCAGAAGACUUUCAGAAGCACAUGCAGUUGCAGCUCCAGUGUUUCAACAGUUGCCCAUUUCCAAGGCCUCCUAAAUACGUAUGAGGCCUGUGGACAACUUUCUCCUCAGCUGUUACAGAACCUGGACAACUUGUAGUGAAGACCUUCCACACCAGUAACAUAUUUUGGUGAGCCAGUCGGGAGUUGGCUAGAUUAGUUCCCCAGUCUGUCUUCUCGCCACUCUGGAUGUCCACAUGAGAGGACCCAAGGUAAUUUCUGACAGCCUCGGGCUCCUUGGGAAAACCAGAGGGUGCCACAGACCCCGUUUUAGGAGAAACCUCUGUUUUCCUCAGGGAACCCCAAGACACAUAAGCAGACAGAUCCCUCUCAAAAUCUAAGGCUCUGCUCUGUUUUGUAUCACAUUACCUGAUCUUUUUGACUUUGGGGGAAAUUACAUCAGAAAUUACUUUAGUAGGGGCUGGGCGCAGUGGCUCAUGCCUGUUAUCCCAGCACUUUGAGAGGCCGAGGCAGGCAGAUCACCUGAGGU